rnacentral:rRNA from 1 species
UACGAAGGGGGCUAGCGUUGCUCGGAAUCACUGGGCGUAAAGCGCACGUAGGCGGAUUGUUAAGUCAGGGGUGAAAUCCUGGAGCUCAACUCCAGAACUGCCUUUGAUACUGGCGAUCUUGAGUGCGGGAGAGGUGAGUGGAACUGCGAGUGUAGAGGUGAAAUUCGUAGAUAUUCGCAAGAACACCAGUGGCGAAGGCGGCUCACUGGCCCGAUACUGACGCUGAGGCACGAAAGCGUGGGGAGCAAACAGG